GAAUAUUUGCUUUUAAGUAUUUGUCAAGUAGGCUUUUUCUUAAAGAAGAAGCCCCA
ensembl:snRNA U7 U7 small nuclear RNA